rnacentral:misc_RNA from 1 species
AAAAGCUUUUGAAGUNAAAGUAAAUUUUUANUUUAACCUUUAGAAAAAAUAAAUCUUUAGAAAGUGUUUAGUAUUAUACAGUUUCAUAUUAAAUUAAACGUUGUUAAUAGUAAACAUAAUUUUAGAUUUUGAGUUGAAAGUUUUUUAUAUUGMUAAAUAUKUAUUUUAAAUCUAAUAGAACGGCAAUUKCAAUUUUUAAAAUUGAAAUUGCAUUGUAAAUAUACCCUAACAUCGAAAUUGACAAAUGUUUUWUUUUUAUUGUUCAUCAUAGUUAAAGUAGACUAUAGUACAUANUACUUGGAAAAAUGGAAUACAUUGGGACCAGGAUGAGUUGAACAUCCGACCUCAGGUUUA